rnacentral:lncRNA from 1 species
AACGCCCUAAGACAACACGCCUUAAUGUGAUUAAACGCGUAACUAAAAUCAAUCACCAUCCCUAGACCGAGAUUCAACACAGGCUCGUGUUGAAUCUAAACAAAGGUUCAUAAUCAUCCUAAGGCCCUAAGGCAACUAUAUAGUCCAUCAAAUGAAUGCAAAAGGUUAUGUUUAGUAGUAUCAUAUACUCUUGCUUUAAAAACCGUUUUAUAAGCAUAGUGGGAGUAUUAUGUACAACUAAAAACAAUCAUAUGGACCAAUAGUUGUAAUAGGACCAAAAUUGUUUUAAUAGAGAUUAAAAUGUAUGUUUAUAUGUGAUGAGACCUAAAACCCUCAACCAAACCAUUAUUAAGUUGAUAAGCGGAGAGUGCUUUGAACACUCUUUCGUGGCCUUCCACCGUGGUAGGCUCCAAUCGUUUGUGACUUGUACACCGGCUUCACCCUAUAAUGGGGGAGUACAAAGUGCGUGCUUACACUCAGGAGGAGUUCUAUAUACGUACAUGAUGAAGUGAGGUAGGCAACGAGUUUAGCCAACAUGAUAUAAUUAUGAGGCUAUGCUUGAACCCCUACACGAACUAGGCAUGGUGGGAAUGACUUAACUAAGUGCAAUGACGCCAACAUGAUAUAAUUCUGAGGCAAUCAUUCUCUAGAGGCCAAAUAAGAUGGGUACUUGCAUUAGAUGCAAAUGAGUAAGCGUACUCUCUCAUUAUUAUUAACGCUAGCCAACAUGAUAUAAUUCUGAGGUGGGCUUGGUAAUAGUGAGCCUCCCAUAACCUACUAAGAGUUUCCUCCAAAACUCUCGAAUUCCAAUGAGGGAUAUGGAAUUUGCCAAAAAUAGUGGGUGGUGCUAUUUGAUUUAAAGACCCGGAUCAAAUGGCUUAAAAUCAAUCAACUUAUAUUCGUUAUGUAUUUGUUCACCAAUAUAUUUGCAAACGCUAUCCAACACUUGACAAAUAAAACCGAAUGUUUUAGUUUCCGGACUUAGUACAACAAUCCCAAAGAAUGUCUUAUAAAGAUUGCAUAUGUAUCUAAGUAGUCUCAUCCUCACAAUCUUCCUAAUGAUAAUGUAUCAUUGGAAGAACAUGUUAGAAAAGUCUAUCAUGAAGAGGACAACACAAACAACCAAUGCUUAAUCCUUUGUUAAAUGAACAAAGGAACUUACGAAGAUUAGCAUAAUGACAAGGACACUUAUAGUGUUAUUAGUUCUUCACUUACAAAUCGUUGUAUGAAGAAAUAAUAGUUGCUUUGAACAACCCUUAGUCAAUGCAAACACUAGUGCUUGUUUCUUUGAAAAAUGAACAAAGAACUUGAGAAGAAAGCACAAAGGCAUGGACACUUUAUGUGCCAUGAUUCUUCACUUACAAAU